UUUUAUGAGAGUUUGAUCCUGGCUCAGGACGAACGCUGGCGGCGUGCCUAAUACAUGCAAGUCGAACGCUUCUUUUUCCACCGGAGCUUGCUCCACCGGAAAAAGAGGAGUGGCGAACGGGUGAGUAACACGUGGGUAACCUGCCCAUCAGAAGGGGAUAACACUUGGAAACAGGUGCUAAUACCGUAUAACAAUCGAAACCGCAUGGUUUUGAUGUGAAAGGCGCUUUCGGGUGUCGCUGAUGGAUGGACCCGCGGUGCAUUAGCUAGUUGGUGGGGUAACGGCUCA
rnacentral:rRNA from 1 species